GGGUGAUUAGCUCAGUCAGGUAGAGCGGCGCAAAUUGGUUUUGUGUGUUUCCCAUAGUUUAUAAAGGUUAGUUAGUUAUUGCGCAGGUCACGGCGUUCAAGUCCCGUAUCACCCA
rnacentral:tRNA from 1 species